rnacentral:rRNA from 1 species
GCGUGAGAAUCUGGCUCCCGGUCGGGGACAACAGAGGGAAACUUCUGCUAAUCCCGGAUGAGCCGAAAGGUAAAAGAUUUAUCGCCGGGAGAUGAGCUCGCGUCUGAUUAGCUAGUUGGUGAGGUAAAGGCUCACCAAGGCGACGAUCAGUAGCUGGUCUGAGAGGAUGAUCAGCCACACUGGGACUGAGACACGGCCCAGACUCCUACGGGAGGCAGCAGUGGGGAAUUUUCCGCAAUGGGCGCAAGCCUGACGGAGCAAGACCGCGUGGGGGAGGAAGGCUCUUGGGUUGUAAACCUCUUUUCUCAGGGAAGAACACAAUGACGGUACUUGAGGAAUCAGCCUCGGCUAACUCCGUGCCAGCAGCCGCGGUAAUACGGAGGAUGCAAGCGUUAUCCGGAAUGAUUGGGCGUAAAGCGUCCGUAGGUGGCUGUGUCAAGUCUGCUGUCAAAGAGCAGUAGCUCAACUAUUGUAAAGGCAGUGGAAACUGACACGGCUAGAGUGCGUUCGGGGCAGAGGGAAUUCCUGGUGUAGCGGUGAAAUGCGUAGAUAUCGGGAAGAACACCGGUGGCGAAGGCGCUCUGCUGGGCCGUAACUGACACUGAGGGACGAAAGCUAGGGGAGCGAAUGGGAUUAGAUACCCC